rnacentral:tRNA from 1 species
GGGGUUGUGGCUCAGUGGUAGAGCACUCACCUAGCAUUUGUGAGGCCCUGGGUUUGAUUCUCAGCACCACA